ACGUAUUUAUACGCAAAAGCGCCGAGAGAGAAACACCGUUGCCAAAUGGCCUCAUCGGAGAAGCGGUGCUUAUACGAAGUCCUCGGCCUCAGCCGUGACUGCUCCGCCGAUGAAAUCCGCUCCGCGUACCGGCGCCUCGCCCUCCAGCGCCAUCCGGACAAGCUCGUCAGGAGCGGCGUCUCCGAGGCCGACGCCACCGCCGCCUUCCAGGAGCUCGUCAACGCCUACGAGGUCCUCUCCGACGACCGCGAGCGCGCCUGGUACGAUUCCCACCGCAACCAGAUCCUAUUCUCCUCCACCUCCUCUUCUGCCAGCGGCGGCUCCUCAGGUUUCGUCCCCGAUUUGUUUUCCUUCUUCUCGAAUUCGGUCUACUCCGGAUACUCCGACUCCGGGAGGGGGUUUUACAAGGUUUACAGAGAUCUGUUUGAGAAGAUCUACGCGAAUGAGUUAAAUUUCGCGAAGAAAUUGGGGCUGCCUCUGCCAAGGGAAGCUCCGGUCAUGGGCAAUUUGGAGAGUCCUUAUGUUCAGGUCACAGCAUUUUAUAGUUACUGGUUAGGGUUUACAACAAUACUGGAAUUCUUCUGGGCAGAUCAAUAUGAUGCUAUGGCUGGCCCAAACAGGAAGUCAAGGAGGUUAAUGGAAGAGGAGAAUAAGAAGUUGAGGAAGAAGGCGAGACGAGAGUAUAACGAAACGGUUCGGGGAUUGGCUGAGUUUGUGAAGAAGAGGGAUAAGAGAGUGAUUGAUAUGCAAAUAAAGAGGAAUGAGGAGAUGGAGAGAAAGAGGGAGGAGGAGAAGCAGAGGAAGAAAGAGUUGGAGAGGCAGAAAGCUGAGAAGGCUAGGAAUUACGAGGAACCUGAGUGGGCUAAAGUAGAGGAGGUCGAGGAGGAGGAUGAGAGCGAAGAUGCCUUGGAGGAAAAGAAGAACGAAUUCUACUGUGUAGCUUGUAGCAAGAAGUUCAGGAGUGAUAAACAAUGGAAGAAUCACGAACAGUCUAAAAAGCACAAAGAGAAGGUGGCACAGCUGCGGGAAGCAUUCCUUGAAGAGGAUAUAGAAUGUGAAGCAGAAGUAGAUGCUGAUGACGGAAGUGACAUUUGUUACUUGUCAGCAGAUGAUGGAGUAAGUAAACUAGGGGAGCAAUUUGAAGCAGGGAUUGGUAUUCAAGAAGAUGAUAGUGAUGAUGGACAGAAUGAAUCCGGUGAAGCAGUGGAGUUUAAGGAUCCUAAAGAAUUCAGUGGAAGGAAUCGAGUUGCUGCAGGGACAGGGCCAGAUGUAGAGGAUGAUGACGACAGUGAUGAUGGUGAUGAGGCGAGUGUAUUUGAAGCUAUGUUAUCGGGGCAUACGACUUGGAACAAAGCAAGAAAUCAGCCUAGUGCUCCAGCUGCCAAAACUCAGAUGGAGUCUGAUGGCGAUGAAUUGGAUUUCACUGACUAUAAUGACACAAAGGGUGAGGAUCCUAAAGAUUUCAGUGGAGUAAAUGGAGUGGUCGAAGGGAUGGGGCCAGAUGAAGAGGAUGAUGAGGAUAAUGAUGAUGGUGAUGAGGCGAGUGUCUUUGAAGCUAUGUUGUCGGGGCGUAGGAGUAGGAACAAAGCAAGAAAUCAGCCUAUGGCUCCAGCUGCCAAAACUCAGACGGAGUCUGAUGGUGAUGAAUUGGGUUUCAUGGAGUAUAAUGACACAAAGGGCUCGCGAAGUAACAGGGGACGCAGGAGGCGGAGAGGGAGAAGACACGAAGAUGCAGAACCAGCAAAACCUAGCACUGCAGAGAGAAAUGGUAAGGCUGAGGAAGAUGAAGAGUGUGAUGGUGAUGCUACGGAAUUGAUAUCCGAACCUCUACCAGAAUCUGAGACUACUAGGACAGAAGAUGCUGUGAGGGAGAAGGUUCAUAAGCAUCAAGAGCAAGGUGCAAGCAAGAAAUUGCCAGCAAAGAAAGAAAAUGCUGCCAAGUCGAAAGCCUCAUCCAAAGGAAGAAAACAGAAGGUUUCAACAAGAGGUGCUGACAACAUGUGUGAGAAGUGUGGAGAAGAAUUUGAAUCCAAGAAUAAACUUCACAAACAUUUGGGAGAAACAGGUCAUGCCUCACUAAAGCGGUAACGGGGGAUCUAUUGUUAUCGAGCAGUAACAAAUGUGGGUGCUGAGUGUUACAAGAAAAGCCUAUGAAAAGUGAUAGUAUUUUUAAGAGUACAAUUUCGUAGGCGUACGUUCUCAACCACAUCGAAUCCUCCAUCCAACUCCCAAGGAUCCAAUGCUGCAUAUGUACAUACAUUAAAGUCAUCUUUGCUCCAAUAUAAAAAGGAAGUGGAUUAUCGUGACCUGAUAGCAUGACCGGGCCCACACGUGAUUCCACUGAUAUCAAUAUUGGAAGAUCCCGCAGUUAUAGCAAUGCAGUCAUCACCUACAAUAAUUGUACUCUUUAUCAAGAAUUAAACUUCAUUGUAUCAUUCUACUAAGAGAAUUAGGGGAAAUGAAUGAAUGAAUUAAUUAAUUAAGCACGUGUUGCAAUGAAAGAAAUUCUAAUUU